rnacentral:rRNA from 1 species
AAACUUUCAACAACGGAUCUCUUGGUUCUGGCAUCGAUGAAGAACGCAGCGAAAUGCGAUAAGUAAUGUGAAUUGCAGAAUUCAGUGAAUCAUCGAAUCUUUGAACGCACAUUGCGCCCCUUGGUAUUCCGAGGGGCAUGCCUGUUCGAGCGUCAUUAC